UACAGAGGUGGCAAGCGUUGUUCGGAAUUACUGGGCGUGAAGGGCGCGUAGGCGGUUCGUUAAGUCCUGUGUGAAAUCCCCCGGCUCAACUGGGGAACUGCACAGGAAACUAGCGGGCUUGAGUUCGGGAGAGGGAAGCGGAAUUCCGGGUGUAGCGGUGAAAUGCGUAGAUAUCCGGAGGAACACCGGUGGCGAAGGCGGCUUCCUGGACCGACACUGACGCUGAGGCGCGGAAGCUAGGGGAGCAAACGGG
rnacentral:rRNA from 1 species